CAGCCAUUUCUAAUGCACUGUUACUGACCCAGGAAAACUAGCAUCAAGUUUCAGGUGCCCCAAAUACACACUGUCAUGUCUCCUACAGUGGAUUUACACUGAGAAUGUUUUUGCUAAAAUAAUUAUAAACAGAAGCUCAAUUGCCCAGUUUCACCAAGAACAGAUCUCAGCGUGCACUUCUCAUGACUCUGCAGGAAGAUCCAGGAGAAAGGAAGGGAAGUAACUGCUAUUUCAUUGCAUCAUAAAAGCAUCGGCUGACAUUGCCAGCAAACAUACCAUUCCACAAGCAAUCUCCCAACAGGAACACCUCUGGAGCAUGGGGAAUCCAGCCUUAACAGAAACAACCCAGGGGCGGCCUGGGCUGGAAGGGACCUUGAACACCAUCUAGUUACAGACCACCUCAGCACCUGCAUUCAAUUACAUCACUGAUUUCUGCAGCUCCGCACCUGGCUAGAUACUGGUUUUGCCUUUGAUUUGUGGCAGGUGUGACCCAGAGCAUUUAGGGGUUCUCCAGCUAAAACCAAUUGCUUAUGCUAGAAGCUUAGCAGCAAAGCAGCCAUCAUUGCUCCCCCAAGGAACGCUUGCUAUGGCUAUGAAUUAAAGCAUUUCUUACCGCCAUUUCAGCACAGGGGCGCCCACCAGCCCGUGCCUGACGUGCCACCCAAAACACCGAGAUCCAGGAGACCUGCAGGAGCUCGGAGGCGCGGUGCUGCCAGCUGCGGGCGGUGCGAGUCCUCGCCCCGAACCCCUUCAGCCCCGUCCUCUGCUGCAGCUCCUCCACGCGAGCACGCAGCCCUCCGAAAUUACAGCGCUGGGACGCUAAGCGCAUCGAACCCGCUGCACGGGGAGAAGAACACACACUCACCUCAGUGCUGGGUGCUCGGCCGGCCAAGCCAAAAGGCGCUUAGAAAGCGGCAGCUCCCUGGCUCCGCGCGGCCGCCAUUCCGCGGCCCCCACGUGCAGCCCUUGCUGGAAGCUUCUGCGCCGCUGAGGGCCCGCACCUGUGGCCGCCGCGGCCGAGCUGCUUUCCCAUUGGCGCCGCAGGCCCCUCCCGCCCUUCCCGGGGGACAGCUGCGGGGGGUGGGCGCUAACGACGCUCCCGGCUUCUACGGGACACUGCUUUCUCACAUUUGGCACUCGAAGCACAGGAGUGUUUUUUAG
rnacentral:lncRNA from 1 species